UACGUAGGGGCAAGCGUUGUCCGGAAUUAUUGGGCGGUAAAGAGCGUGUAGGCGGUCCGGUAAGUCAGGCUGAUGAAAGUCAAGGGCUCAACCCUUGAAAGCCGGUUGAUACUGUCGGGUCUAGAGUCCGGAAGAGGCGAGUGGAAUUCCCGGUGUAGCGGUGGAAAAUGCGCAGAUAUCGGGAAGGAACACCAAUGGCGAAGGCAGCUCGCUGG
rnacentral:rRNA from 1 species